rnacentral:tRNA from 1 species
CGGGGAGUAGCGCAGUUGGGAGCGCACUUGAUUUGGGAUCAAGGGGUCAGGAGUUCAAGUCUCCUCUCCCCGA